rnacentral:rRNA from 1 species
ACUCCUACGGGAGGCAGCAGUGGGGAAUUUUGGACAAUGGGCGCAAGCCUGAUCCAGCCAUGCCGCGUGUGUGAAGAAGGCCUUCGGGUUGNAAAGCNCUUUUGUCCGGAAAGAAAUCCGUCUGGCUAAUACCCGGACGGGAUGACGGUACCGGAAGAAUAAGCACCGGCUAACUACGUGCCACCAGCCGCGGUAAU